UACGAAGGGGGCUAGCGUUGCUCGGAAUCACUGGGCGUAAAGCGCACGUAGGCGGAUCUUUAAGUCAGGGGUGAAAUCCCAAGGCUCAACCUUGGAACUGCCUUUGAUACUGGGGAUCUCGAGUCCGGAAGAGGUUGGUGGAACUGCGAGUGUAGAGGUGAAAUUCGUAGAUAUUCGCAAGAACACCAGUGGCGAAGGCGGCCAUCUGGUCCGGUACUGACGCUGAGGUGCGAAAGCGUGGGGAGCAAACAGG
rnacentral:rRNA from 1 species